rnacentral:rRNA from 1 species
UACAGAGGUCUCAAGCGUUGUUCGGAUUCAUUGGGCGUAAAGGGUGUGUAGGUGGCGCGCUAAGUCGGGUGUGAAAUUUCGGAGCUUAACUCCGAAACUGCAUUCGAUACUGGCGUGCUUGAGGACUGGAGAGGAGACUGGAAUUCAUGGUGUAGCAGUGAAAUGCGUAGAGAUCAUGAGGAAGACCAGUGGCGAAGGCGGGU